ACUACUCUAGGCGGUGGAUCACUCGGCUCGUGCGU
rnacentral:rRNA from 1 species